rnacentral:rRNA from 1 species
UGGGGAAUAUUGCACAAUGGGGGAAACCCUGAUGCAGCGACGCCGCGUGGAGGAAGAAGGUCUUCGGAUUGUAAACUCCUGUUGUUGGGGAAGAUAAUGACGGUACCCAACAAGGAAGUGACGGCUAACUACGUGCCAGCAGCCGCGGUAAAACGUAGGUCACAAGCGUUGUCCGGAAUUACUGGGUGUAAAGGGAGCGCAGGCGGGAAGACAAGUUGGAAGUGAAAUCUAUGGGCUCAACCCAUAAACUGCUUUCAAAACUGUUUUUCUUGAGUAGUGCAGAGGUAGGCGGAAUUCCCGGUGUAGCGGUGGAGUGCGUAGAUAUCGGGAGGAACACCAGUGGCGAAGGCGGCCUACUGGGCACCAACUGACGCUGAGGCUCGAAAGUGUGGGUAGCAAACAGGAUUAGAUACCCUGGUAGUCCACACCGUAAACGAUGAUUACUAGGUGUUGGAGGAUUGACCCCUUCAGUGCCGCAGUUAACACAAUAAGUAAUCCACCUGGGGAGUACGACCGCAAGGUUGAAACUCAAAGGAAUUGACGGGGGCCCGCACAAGCAGUGGAGUAUGUGGUUUAAUUCGACGCAACGCGAAGAACCUUACCAAGUCUUGACAUCCCUUGACAGACAUAGAAAUAUGUAUUCUCUUCGGAGCAAGGAGACAGGUGGUGCAUGGUUGUCGUCAGCUCGUGUCGUGAGAUGUUGGGUUAAGUCCCGCAACGAGCGCAACCCUUAUGGUCAGUUACUACGCAAGAGGACUCUGGCCAGACUGCCGUUGACAAAACGGAGGAAGGUGGGGAUGACGUCAAAUCAUCAUGCCCUUUAUGACUUGGGCUACACACGUACUACAAUGGCGUUAAACAAAGAGAAGCAAGACCGCGAGGUGGAGCAAAACUCAGAAACAACGUCCCAGUUCGGACUGCAGGCUGCAACUCGCCUGCACGAAGUCGGAAUUGCUAGUAAUCGUGGAUCAGCAUGCCACGGUGAAUACGUUCCC